CAGCCGCCGCGGGAAUACGUAGGGUGCAAGCGUUAAUCGGAAUUACUGGGCGUAAAGCGUGCGCAGGCGGUUAUAUAAGACAGAUGUUAAAUCCCCGGGCUCAACCUGGGAACUGCAUUUGUGACUGUAUAGCUAGAGUACGGCAGAGGGGGAUGGAAUUCCGCGUGUAGCAGUGAAAUGCGUAGAUAUGCGGAGGAACACCGAUGGCGAAGGCAAUCCCCUGGGCCUGUACUGACGCUCAUGCACGAAAGCGUGGGGAGCAAACAGGAUUAGAUACCCGAGUAGUCCCUGUCUCUUAUAC
rnacentral:rRNA from 1 species